GGCUCACCACAUCCUCUGUCUCCCGGGAGAAUUGCUUGAACUGGGAGGCAGAGGUUGCAGUGAGCCAAGAUUGUGCCACUGCACUCCAGCCUGGGUGACAGAGUGCGACUCCGUCUCAAAAAAAAAAAAAAAAAAAGCUCUUGUUAUACUAUAUUGAAUGAUCCUGCAUGGUUUAUUUACAUAAUGUAAUAUCUAUAUGCACAGGUAGAUCCUGAAUGAAUAAUAUAAUUGGUAUAUGAGGACAUUACGGAAACAGUAUGCUACGUCAUUCAAGUUGUAAAGUGGCGAUAUUUGGUAGGACCUUUUAAACAUGAUACUUAAAAAAGUACAUAUAUACACACAUCUGCAAAAAAUAAAAAUCACCUUAUUCAUAAUUAGUUAUUAAUACCUUAAACAGAGCCUUCCAAAUAAAAGUGUUAAAUUUUGGAUGACUAUUUAG
rnacentral:sRNA from 1 species